rnacentral:rRNA from 1 species
GUGGGGAAUAUUGCACAAUGGGGGGAACCCUGAUGCAGCAAUGCCGCGUGUAUGAUGAAUCAGAUUUUCUGUGUAAAGUACUGUUAAUAGGGACGAAAGGCACGAAUAGGAUUUGUGUUUGACGGUACCUGUAGAGGAAGCUCCGGCUAACUCCGUGCCAGCAGCCGCGGUAAUACGGAGGGAGCAAGCGUUGUCCGGAAUUAUUGGGCGUAAAGGGUGCGUAGGUGGGAUUUUAAGUCAGUUGUUAAAUGAUGCGGCUUAACCGUGUUAUGCAAUUGAUACUGGGAUUCUUGAGUAUGAGAAGGGGUGGUAGAAUAUCUAGUGUAGCGGUGGAAUGCGUAGAUAUUAGAUAGAAUACCUGAGGCGAAGGCGACUGCCUGGCUCAUUACUGACACUGAGGCACGAAAGCAUGGGUAGCAAACAGGAUUAGAAACCCCAGUAGUCC